rnacentral:rRNA from 1 species
UACGUAGGUGGCUAGCGUUGUCCGGAUUUACUGGGCGUAAAGAGCGCGCAGGCGGUCGUUCAAGUCGAGUGUGAAAGCCCCCGGCUCAACUGGGGAGGGUCACUCGAUACUGAUCGACUUGAAGGCGGGAGAGGGAAGCGGAAUUCCCGGUGUAGUGGUGAAAUGCGUAGAUAUCGGGAGGAACACCAGUGGCGAAGGCGGCUUUCUGGGACGGUACUGACGCUGAGACGCGAAAGCGUGGGGAGCGAACAGG